rnacentral:rRNA from 1 species
AUUGAACGCUGGCGGCAUGCUUUACACAUGCAAGUCGAACGGCAGCGCGGGCUUCGGCCUGGCGGCGAGUGGCGAACGGGUGAGUAAUGCAUCGGAACGUGCCCAGUAGUGGGGGAUAGCCCGGCGACAGCCGGAUUAAUACCGCAUACGACCUGAGGGUGAAAGCGGGGGACCGAAAGGCCUCGCGCUAUUGGAGCGGCCGAUGUCGGAUUAGCUAGUUGGUGGGGUAAAGGCUUACCAAGGCGACGAUCCGUAGCUGGUCUGAGAGGACGACCAGCCACACUGGGACUGAGACACGGCCCAGACUCCUACGGGAGGCAGCAGUGGGGAAUUUUGGACAAAGGGGGCAACCCUGAUCCAGCCAUGCCGCGUGCGGGAAGAAGGCCUUCGGGUUGUAAAACGCUUUUGUUCGGGAAGAAAUCCUCUGGGCUAAUACCCCGGGGGGAUGACGGUACCGGAAGAAUAAGCACCGGCUAACUACGUG